AGUUCGUUAGACGAAAAUACUGAAUAAUUAAACAAACCAAAUGGCAUCACUGGUGGUUCUUUUUUCCACUCCGCUAAACUGUCAUCUCAAACAAAAACAAAUGGAUCAUACAACUGCUAUGAAUACAUUCGACUCGUUUGCUUCCAUCAAUCGGUAAGUGAGAAAGAUGAUUUCUCCCAUCACCACAGUGCGGAUUUCCACUUCUAUCACAGCAGCCAACAACAUCCGUUUUCCUGCAGCAGUAACCUCCAACCCCUGUUGGCAAUGCCGGGGGACAGCAUCAACAGCAGCAGCAGCAGAAUUUGACCAUGGUAUGGUAUUGCGAAGAACUUUCCCCAUUUCCCCAUUCCGUGCUUCGCGCACAUUCAAAAAUCCUCUUCAGACACGAAAACUCAACGACAAGGAGGUAUUUUUCAACUUGCUCAGUUGAAUUACCACCCCGGAGGAACCCGAAUGCACUGAUUCCGUAGUAUAGUAGAAUGAAAAUAGGCGAGGUAAGCGAACGUAAUCGCAUGAAAUUUUAAUGUUCGCAUUUUUAUCCGGAUCAUACAACUGCUAUGAAUACAUCCGACUCAAUCAAUCGGCGAGUGAGAAAGAUGAUUUCCCUCAUCACCACAUUGCUUAUUUCCUCUUCUGUCACACCAGCCAACAGCAUCAGCUUUCCCGCAGCAGUAUCCUUUAAGUCCAGGGUGCUAUUCCGGGGAACAGCAUCAACAGCAACAGCAGCAGGACCUGGCCAUCGAUAGUAUUUCGAGCAAUUUUCCCCAUCGGAGAUCCCGUGCUUCACGCACAUUGAAGAAUCCUCCUCAGCCACAUAUCUGUGUCAUCAAGGGCAAGGAGGUAUUCAUCAAUGUACUCAGUCGGAUUUGAAUCGUCAAUCCAGACAACCCGGAUGCACCGAUUCCAUUAUAUACCUUAUUUUUAUUAUACAUGGUUUUUUAUUAUUUUUUUUAAUAAAAUGAUUAAAAUCGA